ACGUAAACUCGACAUCAUGAAACAGGAGUUCCGCAGUGGUGUUUAUGUUCCCGUGUGUAUGUGUAUUCGUAUCCUAUUGUAUUGUGCCUAGGAGACCCGUAGUUGCACAGGACGAUGAGGUGGAGAUGGUGUGGCGGCGAGGGGAACGCCGGACGCGGGUAGCUUAGAAUCGAACCGACCGCGACCUGUUACCUAAGGCCCUCGUGCCUCUAGGAGCAACUUUUGCCGACGAAGGCUGAUAUGUUCCUGCCGGUGUAGCUGGCACAGCCUCCGUGCCUGUUGCACAGGCGGCCGAAGCUGCGGCUGUGGCCGCAGUGGAGGUCUCUGCAGCACUAGCUGCGGCAGUGGCCGCAGCGGCAAGCGGAGAUGGACGGUCUGUAGGUACGGCGACUUAGGCUGCCGUGGCUGUAGACGUGGCGGCGCCAGUGCUUCGAGGGCUAGCAGCAGAAGAAGGUGCCGCCAAUGAAGUAGCAGCCUAGACGGCCGACGGGAUUCGUGGUGGCGAUGCACUUGAGCGACCGGCGGCUGCGGGCGCGGUAGCAGCAGAGGCAGCUGAUGGCGGAGCGCGGGCUCGUGGACGAGGGCCGCCGGAUGCUGCUGAGGACCCGGCGCGAGUUGACCCGCCACAGGCCGCGGCUGCGCACCGACAGGCUCGUGCCGCUGGAGCCGGCGCAGAAGAACCGGCCGCGGUCGCGGCCGCCCUUGUAUCGGGUGUUGUACCGGUAGCGCCGGCCGCGCUCGUCGGAGAAGCGGCGCCGCUGUGCGGAUCUCCCGCGCCAGAACGAGGUGGGAAGGAAGUCGCCGCUCGUCUCCUAGCUCCGCCUCAGUCUCCUCAUGUCCCGCUCGCAGUUCUACGCCACGAGGCACUAGAAGGGGCCGCGCUCCCCGCCCGACCUGCUGGGCUCCUACUUGGGCUGCCGGCUGUCGCGCGGCUCGGACGCCUGCGACGGCACGCCCUCCUACGACCACACGCGCCGCAGCCUCCUGCGCUCCGACGGCUCCCACGCCCGCAUGAUGCUGCGGCACUUCAGGUCGCCCACCAGACCCGUUCACCUCACCAAGCUCAGCCUUCCGUUCCUCGUGCGGAAGAAGCAGCUGCUCGUACCGACGGCGCUCCGCCAACGCGAGUACCUUGCUCACCGACCAAAGUAGCGGCCGGUAAUUAUUGGCCCGAGAGUUUACAAUUCACUAAAAGGCUUUUUAUUUACACUUCAAUAAAACUGAAGUGAGUCAUAGAAUCAAUCAUAUACUUUACCUUUGACUUACCACCUUUCAAAAGAGAGUCUCGGAACAUAAAUGUUGAGUCCCGUCGCUGUCACCACGUGAUAUUUUCGAACACCUUUUAUUUUCGCGGAGAUUUAAGUUCUAAAAGGAGACUAACGAGGACUUCUUAUCGUAGGGCUGUUUUAUAUUGAACUGAUCUUUUCCUACCUGUUCUUUACUCGUUACAGUUAAAACGAAACUCCUACUUUUGAGGACUGUCACCAUAAUAACACACGAAACUUGGAGGCUUUUGAGGACUAUGUCUCCUACACAAACGCCCAGCCUAGAGAAGGAAAAAGUCAUUUCGUUACGUUCGACUACGAAACAAAGCUGUAGUUAAAGGAUGACUAGGACGAUCACAACGAAAAUGCUACACAUUAAUAUAGUU
rnacentral:rRNA from 1 species